rnacentral:rRNA from 1 species
CAGUAGCCGCGUAAUACAGAGGGUGCGAGCGUUAAUCGGAUUUACUGGGCGUAAAGCGUGCGUAGGCGGCUUCUUAAGUCGGAUGUGAAAUCCCUGAGCUUAACUUAGGAAUUGCAUUCGAUACUGGGAAGCUAGAGUAUGGGAGAGGAUGGUAGAAUUCCAGGUGUAGCGGUGAAAUGCGUAGAGAUCUGGAGGAAUACCGAUGGCGAAGGCAGCCAUCUGGCCUAAUACUGACGCUGAGGUACGAAAGCAUGGGGAGCAAACAGGAUUAGAUACCCCCGUAGUCCCUGUCUCUUAUACC